CAAAUUGCCGCUGGGCCGGGCACCAACCAGGUAGAAAUUGUUACCUCCAGCAAACCCGCAGGGUUUGGCACAUUGGCUGUUAAUGAUUGGACUGUCAUGGAUGGGCCAAGUCCUGGUGUCACCAUUGUUGCCCGUACCAAAGGCAUGCAUACACAAGCUGGUGUGGCCGAUCGAACAUGGUUCAACUACUUCAGCAUGGUGUUCGAGAAUGCCAGGUACAAUGGAUCGUCAUUUGAGGUAAUGGGGAUCAACGGUCAAGAAGGCCAGAUGUCCAUUAUCGGUGGGACUGGAGAGUUUGCUAUGGCACGU
rnacentral:rRNA from 1 species